GAGGAUCCUCCUUGUAAGAGGGCCAGGCUUGGGUUGGUUCCAGUCAGGUAUUUCAGCCUGACGUUCAGCCUUCAACUUGUUUACUUCCUCAAGAAUUUGUAGGACAAGGGGGUCCUGAGCGGAGUUAUGUGUCACUGGAGCUUUCUUUCGUAAAUCUCCAUCUCUUAUUGGAGUUAGGAAGGUUUGAUCAAGGGCAUGUGAUUUUUCCCUGGACUCGCUGUACUGGCUUCCAGGGUAUGUCUGUCG
rnacentral:lncRNA from 1 species